rnacentral:rRNA from 1 species
CAGUAGCCGCGGUAAUACGUAGGUGGCAAGCGUUGUCCGGAAUUAUUGGGCGUAAAGGGCUCGCAGGCGGUUUCUUAAGUCUGAUGUGAAAGCCCCCGGCUCAACCGGGGAGGGUCAUUGAAAACUGGGAAACUUGAGUGCAGAAGAGGAGAGUGGAAUUCCACGUGUAGCGGUGAAAUGCGUAGAGAUGUGGAGGAACACCAGUGGCGAAGGCGACUCUCUGGUCUGUAACUGACGCUGAGGAGCGAAAGCGUGGGGAGCGAACAGGAUUAGAUACCCGUGUAGUCCCUGUCUCUUAUAC